rnacentral:rRNA from 1 species
AACGAACGCUGGCGGCAGGCUUAACACAUGCAAGUCGAGCGCGUAGCAAUACGAGCGGCAGACGGGUGAGUAACACGUGGGAAUCUACCCAUCCCUGCGGAACAACUCCGGGAAACUGGAGCUAAUACCGCAUACGCCCUACGGGGGAAAGAUUUAUCGGGGAUGGAUGAGCCCGCGUUGGAUUAGCUAGUUGGUGGGGUAAAGGCCUACCAAGGCGACGAUCCAUAGCUGGUCUGAGAGGAUGAUCAGCCACAUUGGGACUGAGACACGGCCCAAACUCCUACGGGAGGCAGCAGUGGGGAAUAUUGGACAAUGGGCGCAAGCUUGAUCCAGCCAUGCCGCGUGAGUGAUGAAGGCCUUAGGGUUGUAAAGCUCUUUCACCGAUGAAGAUAAUGACGGUAGUCGGAGAAGAAGCCCCGGCUAACUUCGUGCCAGCCGCCGCCGUAAUAC